rnacentral:rRNA from 1 species
AUGAGAUCAAAGUGCAGCAGCAGCCAAUACGGCGAGGCGCAGCGACUGCACGGGCUCCGCGAGGUCCAGGGGCGGAAGCAGCCAAUACGGCGAGCGGUGCCUGUCCGGCGACCAUACGGCCUCCGCGGCGUGCUCGACCUUGCUCCUACGCCUCCUACCCGGGCUGGACCUCCCCCCGGGCGUCGUCCCCACCCGCAUCACCAAGCUCCCCAACGGCGUCCGCGACUCGGCGUCGCCUCCGAGGAUUUCCAGGUACUACCCACAUCCCCCUCCCCUCUUCCUUCUGAUGAGUCCAUGGCUGACAGCGGCCACCGUCUCCGAGCUCACGAACACCCAGAUUUGACAGGGAGCAGCACAGGGAUGGCGAUUUUUGGCAGCUCUGCUCUGAUGAUGCCGUCAGAGCACAGCUUGCUCGUUUUCAGCAUGAGGAAGAAGAUGAUUUGA